GACGAACGCUGGCGGCGUGCUUAACACAUGCAAGUCGAACGGAGAAUUUUACUUCGGUGAAAUUCUUAGUGGCGAACGGGUGAGUAACGCGUAGACAACCUGCCUCUUAGAUGGGGACAACAUCGCGAAAGCGGUGCUAAUACCGAAUGAAGUGGAGCUUCCGCAUGGAAGCAUCACCAAAGGUGGCCUCUAUUUAUAAGCUACCACUGAGAGAUGGGUCUGCGUCUGAUUAGCUAGUUGGCGGGGUAAUGGCCCACCAAGGCGACGAUCAGUAGCCGGUCUGAGAGGAUGAACGGCCACAUUGGGACUGAGACACGGCCCAAACUCCUACGGGAGGCAGCAGUGGGGAAUCUUCCGCAAUGGACGAAAGUCUGACGGAGCAACGCCGCGUGAGUGAGGAAGGUUUUCGGAUCGUAAAGCUCUGUUGUUUGAGACGAAUGUGCAGACUUUGAAUAAGGGUUUGUAAUGACGGUAUUAAACGAGAAAGCCACGGCUAACUACGUGCCAGCCGCCGCCGUAA
rnacentral:rRNA from 1 species